UACGGAGGGUGCAAGCGUUAAUCGGAAUUACUGGGCGUAAAGCGUUCGUAGGCGGUUAGAUAAGUCAGAUGUGAAAGGCCUGGGCUUAACCUGGGAAUUGCAUUUGAUACUGUUUAACUAGAGUUUAAUAGAGGAGAGGGGAAUUUCCGGUGUAGCGGUGAAAUGCGUAGAUAUCGGAAGGAACACCAAUGGCGAAGGCAACUCUCUGGAUUGAAACUGACGCUGAGGGACGAAAGCGUGGGUAGCAAACAGG
rnacentral:misc_RNA from 1 species